rnacentral:rRNA from 1 species
ACGAACGCUGGCGGCGUGCUUCACACCUGCAAGUCGAACGGAAAGGCCCUGCUUUUGUGGGGUGCUCGAGUGGCGAACGGGUGAGUAACACGUGAGUAACCUGCCCUUGACUUUGGGAUAACUUCAGGAAACUGGGGCUAAUACCGGAUAGGAGCUCCUGCUGCAUGGUGGGGGUUGGAAAGUUUCGGCGGUUGGGGAUGGACUCGCGGCUUAUCAGCUUGUUGGUGGGGUAGUGGCUUACCAAGGCUUUGACGGGUAGCCGGCCUGAGAGGGUGACCGGCCACAUGGGGACUGAGAUACGGCCCAGACUCCUACGGGGGGCAGCAGUGGGGAAUAUUGCACAAUGGGCGGAAGCCUGAUGCAGCAACGCCGCGUGCGGGAUGACGGCCUUCGGGUUGUAAACCGCUUUCGCCUGUGACGAAGCGUGAGUGACGGUAAUGGGUAAAGAAGCACCGGCUAACUACGUG